GACGAACGCUGGCGGCGUGCCUAAUACAUGCAAGUCGAGCGGACCUCUUCGGAGGUCAGCGGCGGACGGGUGAGUAACACGUGGGCAACCUGCCUGUAAGACUGGGAUAACUCCGGGAAACCGGAGCUAAUACCGGAUACUAUGUCAAACCGCAUGGUUUGACAUUCAAAGACGGUUUCGGCUGUCACUUACAGAUGGGCCCGCGGCGCAUUAGCUAGUUGGUGAGGUAACGGCUCACCAAGGCGACGAUGCGUAGCCGACCUGAGAGGGUGAUCGGCCACACUGGGACUGAGACACGGCCCAGACUCCUACGGGAGGCAGCAGUAGGGAAUCUUCCGCAAUGGACGAAAGUCUGAUGGAGCAACGCCGCGUGAACGAUGAAGGCUUUCGGGUCGUAAAGUUCUGUUGUAAGGGAAGAACAAGUGCCGCAGGCAAUGGCGGCACCUUGACGGUACCUGACCAGAAAGCCACGGCUAACUACGUGCCAGCCGCCGCGGUAA
rnacentral:rRNA from 1 species